AAUAAGAAGCAAUUUUGCAAAUAGUUUCGACCUAUUCAUUUGAUAUUUAAGUAUCCUUAUUU
rnacentral:tRNA from 1 species